rnacentral:tRNA from 1 species
UGCAAAACGGCGCAAAUGCUGCCGGUAAUCUUGAAAACCGGCGUGCGGGAAACCGUACCGUGGGUUCGAAUCCCACCUCUUCCGCCA